rnacentral:lncRNA from 1 species
CCUCUUCAUCUCUCUCUCUCUCUCUCUCUCUCUCUCUCUCUCUAGGGUGAAUCACUUCACCGCCUCGAUCAUCUGCACCUUCGAUUUUUGUAGCCACAAGGGUCGCCGUAGAAUCGACGCCCUUCCUUCCCCUAUUUUGCUUCAUUCUUCCUUCUCCUGUUUAGACCGAGCAACAAUGGCACUCACCAUGGAACCGACGAUUGUUGCUGCUCUCAGCGGUUAGGUUGCUGCCAGUGAUGAGGUCAAGGGAGUCAAGGAGGGAUCACUGGAAAUUGAUUGAUGCCCUCUUCACGACGUGCUAGCCUCAACUGAUCCCCCGUCAAUUUUGAUCGGUUUCUCCUAUUCGAUUGUGCCCUUUUUCUCAAUCUGCUGAAGAAGACAUGUCCUCUUUUUGUAUAAUUAGAGAUUGUGGCAAAGUAAGUCCCUUCAAUUGUAACUUAAAAUUAUAAUUAGAGUUGGGACACAAUUUUUUUUUCUUGGAUGGCUUCCAUUUCAGACGUAAACAAUGAAAACAGGAGUGUGGAAGGACAAAGAUUACCUGUCUAUAUUGAUACACAGUAAACACACAAAUUUGGUUCCUUUUUUUACUUAGUUAUCUUAAUUUUUUUUACUGUCCAUUGCUCCAACAAUUUAUUUUUAAUUUCUUGAUGUUAUGUAUGAUUACAAAUGCUUUAGUUGACUUUGAAAAUUGAUUCUUAUAAUAUUUUAUUCAUUUAUGAUUACAAAGAUUUUUUAUAUCUGAUUAGAAAUUUGUGUUAUUCAUCUACGAUUAGUACCGAAUUUUGAUUUUUACUACACACGAUUACAGUUAUGCGUUAUUCAUUUGUGCUUGUGAUAUAUCAGAUUUGUUUAUCUCUAUACUAUGCUUUAUUCAUGUUCUAUUAUAUUUGCAUCUUGACUUUUUUUUUUUUUUUAUAUAUAAUUGAAACCGUGAUUUAUUUAUUUAUGAUUAUAUGUGUUUUUAGAUUCUUUUUAUAUAUCAUAACUAUGCUUUAUUCAUUUAGGAUUGCAAAUGUAUUGGACUUCUUUAUCUUUUUAUUGUAUUGUAUUUUUUAUGAUUAUAUCUAUUUUAUCUGCAUUUCAAAUAUGAAAAAUCAAGGUUGGUUUUUCACUUGUCUAAAAUUGUGAUAGGUAUUCAAGGCAGAUGAAUUCGAAAUAGUUAUGACCCUUACAAAAUGUUGCUUGCGAAUUUUUGCUAUCAAAAAACAAAACAAGUUAAUACUAGAGCAUCGUAUUUCAUGUGAAAAUAUUCAUUACAAGAAAAAAGAAACCCAUGUGGCAGCGAGAAAAAGAAACAAAUAUGUAUUUAUGAGUAGAAUUAAGUUUAAUUUUAUUCGUUUAAAAAUAAAACUUGAUGAAUAUUAG